rnacentral:misc_RNA from 1 species
GGAGGGAGGGAGGGAGGGAGGGAGAGAGAGAGAGAGAGAGAGAGAGAGAGAGAGAGAGAGAGAGAGAGAGAGAGAGAGAGAGAGAGAGAGAGAGAGAGAGAGAGAGAGAGAGAGAGAGAGAGAGAGAGAGAGAGAGCACGCUGCUCGCUGCUCGCCGCUCGCCGCAGGGGGGAGCAGUAGCGCAGGCAAGGGAAAGGGAUGGAAGCUGGAACUGGAAGGGGAAGGACCGAAGGAGUGGAUGGGACUCGGGAGUGCGUGUGGUCGUGAAAAUGGAGUUGGAACUGUCCGAGACCGACUGACUCUAUUGAGUAAUAAAUGCUGGAGGAAGACGGAGUAAGCAGCAACAGCGACCAGGUGAUUGAAUCGAGCGAUUCGGACUUGGGAGAGGACCGGACGUGUGAGCGAGCGGCAGCAACUGACGGCCUACACGGCUACUACUACAUGGGACGAUCUCAUCCGUGCCGCGGCUAGACGUCGCUCAACGAGCUCCCACGAUCCAACUUUUGAGCAACGCAGACAGACAGGCUCAUGUGAUGAUGCAUCACUCUCUCCCUCCACAACUUUUCACGGUACCCGGCCAUAGUAGCACUUGUGUGUUUUUUUUAAAGGAGAACUUUGUUAGCCUCCUCCACUAGUAGUGUGAUAUCCUUAGCUUUUCC